rnacentral:rRNA from 1 species
GGGUUGUGAGGUUAAGCGACUAAGCGUACACGGUGGAUGCCCUGGCAGUCAGAGGCGAUGAAGGACGUGCUAAUCUGCGAUAAGCGCCGGUAAGGUGAUAUGAACCGUUAUAACCGGCGAUUUCCGAAUGGGGAAACCCAGUGUGACUCGUCACACUAUCAUUAACUGAAUCCAUAGGUUAAUGAGGCGAACCGGGGGAACUGAAACAUCUAAGUACCCCGAGGAAAAGAAAUCAACCGAGAUUCCCCCAGUAGCGGCGAGCGAACGGGGAGGAGCCCAGAGCCUGAAUCAGCAUGUGUGUUAGUGGAAGCGUCUGGAAAGGCGCGCGAUACAGGGUGACAGCCCCGUACACAAAAGCGCAUGUGCUGUGAGCUCGAUGAGUAGGGCGGGACACGUGGUAUCCUGUCUGAAUAUGGGGGGACCAUCCUCCAAGGCUAAAUACUCCUGACUGACCGAUAGUGAACCAGUACCGUGAGGGAAAGGCGAAAAGAACCCCGGCGAGGGGAGUGAAAAAGAACCUGAAACCGUGUACGUACAAGCAGUGGGAGCCCCACCACUAAGCCAGUGGUGAACUCCACAUACGCAUCCUUUGCUGAGGAUGCGGUUAACGGAGCGAAAGCGACGUUCAACCGCAAAAGAAGCAGAGGGGGCUUAGUGGUGGGGUGACUGCGUACCUUUUGUAUAAUGGGUCAGCGACUUAUAUUCUGUAGCAAGGUUAACCGAAUAGGGGAGCCGGAGGGAAACCGAGUCUUAACCGGGCGUUAAGUUGCAGGGUAUAGACCCGAAACC